rnacentral:rRNA from 1 species
UAAGACGAACCGUGCGAACGUUGUUCGGAAUCACUGGGCUUAAAGGGCGCGUAGGCGGGCCGGCGAGUCCGGGGUGAAAGCCCCCAGCUUAACUGGGGAAUUGCCUGGGAUACCGCCGGCCUCGAGGGAGGUAGGGGCGAUCGGAACUUCCGGUGGAGCGGUGAAAUGCGUAGAGAUCGGAAGGAACGCCGGUGGCGAAAGCGGAUCGCUGGGCCUCUUCUGACGCUGAGGCGCGAAAGCCAGGGGAGCGAACGGGAUUAGAUACCCCGGUAGUCCUGGCCCUAAACGAUGGGUACUAGGUAGGGGGCUUACAUGGGUUCCCUGCCGAAGCCAAAGUGCUAAGUACCCCGCCUGGGGAGUAUGGUCGCAAGGCUG